CUGGAGCUUGCUCCGGCGGAUUAGUGGCGAACGGGUGAGUAACACGUGAGCAAUCUGCCCUUGACUCUGGGAUAACUGCGGGAAACUGUAGCUAAUACCGGAUACUUUCCUCGGUGGGCAUCCACUGAGGAAGAAAGAAUUUCGGUCAAGGAUGAGCUCGCGACCUAUCAGCUAGUUGGUGAGGUAAAGGCUCACCAAGGCGACGACGGGUAGCCGGCCUGAGAGGGUGACCGGCCACACUGGGACUGAGACACGGCCCAGACUCCUACGGGAGGCAGCAGUGGGGAAUAUUGCACAAUGGACGAAAGUCUGAUGCAGCAACGCCGCGUGAGGGACGAAGGCCUUCGGGUUGUAAACCUCUUUUAGCAGGGAAGAAGCGAAAGUGACGGUACCUGCAGAAAAAGCACCGGCUAACUACGUGCCAGCAGCCGCGGUAAUACGUAGGGUGCAAGCGUUGUCCGGAAUUAUUGGGCGUAAAGAGCUCG
rnacentral:rRNA from 1 species